AAAUUGAAGAGUUUGAUCAUGGCUCAGAUUGAACGCUGGCGGCAGGCCUAACACAUGCAAGUCGAACGGUAACAGGAAGAAGCUUGCUUCUUUGCUGACGAGUGGCGGACGGGUGAGUAAUGUCUGGGAAACUGCCUGAUGGAGGGGGAUAACUACUGGAAACGGUAGCUAAUACCGCAUAAUGUCGCAAGACCAAAGAGGGGGACCUUCGGGCCUCUUGCCAUCGGAUGUGCCUAGAUGGGAUUAGCUUGUUGGUGGGGUAACGGCUCACCAAGGCGACGAUCCCUAGCUGGUCUGAGAGGAUGACCAGCCACACUGGAACUGAGACACGGUCCAGACUCCUACGGGAGGCAGCAGUGGGGAAUAUUGCACAAUGGGCGCAAGCCUGAUGCAGCCAUGCCG
rnacentral:rRNA from 1 species